GCUUUUCAAGAGAAAUCGUGAUUCGCGGGUUGUCAUGUUUCGUCUGUUUAUAAGGCACUGCUUCGUCCAGGUCGAAUCGAUCGUAUCGUUUAUGUACCGUUACCUGACGCAGAAACAAGGAGAGAUAUAUUUCAAAUCCAGUUUCGUAAAACUCCAAUUGCGUCUGAUGUUGAUUUGGAAUUGUUAGUGAAGAAAACCGAAAUGUAUUCUGGAGCUGAGAUUUGUGCAGUUUGUCGCGAGGCGGCGCUAGCAGCACUGGAUGACAACAUGGACGCUACAGAACUUACGUCACGUGAUUUUGAAAAGGCCAUUGCGUCGGUUCCUCCACAAACUACUAAAGAAUUAGUUGAAAUGUAUGAACAAUAUAGCAAAACGUUACAGUCACAAAUAAAAUGAUGUUGAAGCAUUAUUAGUACAUGUAGCUUGCAAUUUGAAGUUGCUGGUACGUUGUUAUGGCUCUCGCUAUGAUGCGGACAGUUGUUGCUCAUCAUUCUCUUCAUCAGGAAAAUGUCAUCAGUUGGAAGAAUUUUUUUGUGACAACCAUUCUCUUGUUAAUAAAAUACGAUGCCUAACAUUCCAAGUAGCACAUUGUCAGUUAGAGUUAUUGCAAUGUUUUUUUGGUCCCAAUCGUCAUUUAAAUGAUCCCCUGUGUCAAGAGCAGGGGUGGGAAGGUUUUUGCCUACCUAGACUAACGGGCCAUGUAAGUGUUAAAUUUCAUAAACAAUAUUUACAGUUUUACAAAAAUAAAAAUGAAAAACAAUAAGCUUCGCGCCGAAACUAAAUUUAAUAUCAAAUUCAACAAAUUUCUCAAGCUAUUUUUUUUUUUUUUAGCUAAAACAUCAAAAUUUGGUUGCGGCAUCACCAGGCGGGGCAGAUUAAAUUACCCAACGGGCCAUAUUUGGCCCACUGGCCGUAAUUUGCCUAUGUCAGGUCUAGGGCUUCAUUCAAAAUCAUGGUGUUAAACAUUUCAUAAUAGCGAUUGCUUUUCUUUAUAUUAGCAUGAGUUGUUUCUCAUUAUCAAUCAUGGUGGUAAUCAAAUAUGAAACAUGAAAUCUUCGUUGCUAUUUGAAUGGUGUGGUGUUUUGAAUUCGUGGGCUGGAUUACCAGAUAAUGAAAAUACAUAAAUAACCUGUUUUUAAUAAACCAAUACUCACCUU